AGAAGCCAGUCUCCAUCUCACAAGACACCUCAUACCGAUCUGCAAUCAACAGUGCCUAAAAAUCUCGGGUAAGUUUUGGAGAAGGCAGAUUUAAGAAGAUGAUGGACCACAAGAAUUAGGAACCGCAUAUGGAUGCAUUUAAGUCAGCUGUCGGAAUGCGUAAGUUCAGCGAACCAAAACAAUCAAAAUCUAAAGGUUCGAAACAAAGGUGGGAUAUCAGACCAGCAGCGUGUUUGAUCCCCGAGUGGCAUCAAAGAAACAUCACUUCUUGUACUACAAGGCGAACAACAAAUGCACACAAUGGGCAUGGCGUAAUUGACAUGAAACACAAGGAAGAGUCCUUGAGAUGUGAAUGACAAUCAGUACCAGCUAGCCACUCGUUCAUGCUGUGGUGUGACUGCAACAAACAUGGAAAAGACAACUUCUCUCCAUCUGGAAUGGCUCUGGUAAGGACUUCCACUGCCCUCUAAAUUUUCAAUUCAGAGUCUACUAGGUCAUAUUAUCUGUGUUUAUUUCUACUACGCUGCCCCUUUCUAUUGUCUUUUAGUUCUACAUUUCCAGAGGUAUGCAUCCUUAUUUCUUUUCAA